UCUCUUGUGUCUCCUGCAUUGGCAGGCAGGUUCUUUACCACUAAUUCAGGUAUGGACACACAGAAUUCCUGGGUCUGAGAUAGACGAUGUUUUAAAACAUGAUCAUAGCUUUUCCGGUAAGCGGCCUGAGCUGACCCUUAAACAUGGUGCGCUAUUCACUCGACCCAGAAAACCCCACAAAAUCAUGCAAAUCAAGAGGUUCAAAUCUUCAUGUUCACUUUAAGAACACUCAUGAGACUGCCCAGGCCAUAAAGGGUAUGCAUAUCCGAAAAGCCACCAAGUAUCUGAAGGAUGUCACUUUAAAGAAGCAGUGUGUGCCAUUCCGUCGUUACAAUGGUGGAGUUGGUAGGUGUGCACAGGCCAAACAGUGGGGCUGGACGCAGGGUCGGUGGCCCAAAAAGAGUGCUGAAUUUUUACUACACAUGCUCAAAAAUGCAGAGAGUAAUGCUGAACUUAAGGGCUUAGAUGUAGAUUCUCUGGUCAUUGAGCACAUCCAGGUGAACAAAGCCCCCAAGAUGCGGCGCAGGACUUACAGAGCUCACGGUCGGAUCAACCCCUACAUGAGCUCUCCCUGCCACAUUGAGAUGAUCCUUACUGAAAAAGAACAGAUUGUUCCUAAACCAGAAGAGGAGGUUGCACAGAAGAAAAAGAUAUCCCAGAAGAAACGGAAGAAACAAAAACUUAUGGCCCGGGAAUAAAUGCUGCAGAAAAUAAAUGCAAAUAAAAGUAAAAAAAAAAAAAUGAUCAUAGUAAAGUCAUCUAGAAAGAGAAUGCAGAAGUAGAGAAGAGGACCAAGAAUAUAAGCUAAGGACUGUAAGAUAAGCGAUAUCUGUAAAAAGAAAGGAAGAUGGAGGAGAGGAUGAAAGGUUUAGAAAAGCAGCAGGAGAACCGGAAGUAGGACGAACAACCUGAAGAUGAUGUUACCGUGGGAUGUUGUCUAAAUAAAGCACCCUGAAGUUGGACAGCAUCCGCGUGGGCCUUAAUUUCUAUUCCCUCCCACCUCCACCCCAUAGCCAAGACCAAUGAGCUCCCAUCUGUUGACUAACCCUUUCCCACGCUGUGGGUCACAGUCACAGGCUGGGCAGCAGGAAUAACGGCAGUCAAGGCCUAGCAUCUGAGUCAAGGCUCAGCAUCACCUCUGUCUCAUUGUCCCGUUGCCUAAACUUGUUCUCUGUUUCCCCGAGCUGGAGUCAUGAUUCCCUGUUUUUGUUCAAGUUCCUCUACCAAAUCCCUGUGUUUUCUUCUCUUUCCUCAGUAACCCAGUUUCUGGAGCCUGAAUCCUUUCUAGUUUCCUAAGACAGAAGUCUUGUCCCUUGGAGUCCAGAUUAUCUAUCCCCUAAAAUUAGGAGUUGCCCUGUCUGUCUUUGCUCACGUAUCCUAUCGAUGCCUGGAGCUAUCUUGCCUUGCUUAUAAUUCCUCGGAGCAUCGGGGUGGUGUUAGGGGAGCUCUUGCCAACCAGCAACUGAUAAAGGGACUCUCAUAAUACUACAGUAUAUUUAUAGCUAUUAGUUCCUAAAACUAUUUGUUAAUUCACAAUGCCUUCCUGCAGUGCAUGCCUUCCACUACACUUGGCUGCCUACUGUGUGCCAGAAUUAUUCCAGGUGCUGAGGAUGCAAUGGUGAACAAAACGAUGUGCCUUCUGAAAACUGGGGAGGACGGAUAAACAGUUGAAGUACAGAGUGGGCCCCACGGAGAAAAAUCAAACUGCCUGUGAGGGAGAAGGGGGACUUUCCAGGUGGCGCAGUAGUCAAGAAUCCGCCUACCACUGCAGGAGACAAGAG